GAUGAACGCUGGCGGCGUGCUUAACACAUGCAAGUCGAACGGAAAGGCCGAACCUUUCUUCGGUACUCGAGUGGCGAACGGGUGAGUAACACGUGGGUAAUCUGCCCUGUACUUCGGGAUAAGCUUGGGAAACUGGGGCUAAUACCGGAUAUGAGCAUCUCUUGCAUGGGGUUGGUUGGAGCUUUUGCGGUGUGGGGUGAGGUCGCGGCGUAUCUGCUUGUUUGGGGGGUGAUGGCGUACCAAGGGGUCUAGGGGGGGCCCGCCUGUGAGGGGGUGCGGGCACAUUGGGAGUCAGAGACGGCCCAGACUCCCACGGGGGGGAGAAGAGGGGAAUAUUGUACACUGGGGGCGAGACUGAUGCGGCGACGCCGCGUGUGGGAUGACGGCCUUCGGGUUGUAAACUCCUUUCGCAAUCGACGAAGACUUUUGGUGACGGUAGGUUGAGAAGAAGCACCGGCUAACUACGUG
rnacentral:rRNA from 1 species